CCUACGGGAGGCAGCAGUGAGGAAUAUUGGUCAAUGGACGAGAGUCUGAACCAGCCAAGUAGCGUGAAGGAUGACUGCCCUAUGGGUUGUAAACUUCUUUUAUAUGGGAAUAAAACGUUCCACGUGUGGGAUUUUGUAUGUACCAUCUGAAUAAGGAUCGGCUAACUCCGUGCCAGCAGCCGCGGUAAUACGGAGGGUCCGAGCGUUAUCCGGAUUUAUUGGGUUUAAAGGGAGCGUAGGUGGAUUGUUAAGUCAGUUGUGAAAGUUUGCGGCUCAACCGUAAAAUUGCAGUUGAAACUGGCAGUCUUGAGUACAGUAGAGGUGGGCGGAAUUCGUGGUGUAGCGGUGAAAUGCUUAGAUAUCACGAAGAACUCCGAUUGCGAAGGCAGUUCACUGGACUGCAACUGACACUGAGGCUCGAAAGUGUGGGUAUCAAACAGGAUUAGAUACCCUGGUAGUC
rnacentral:rRNA from 1 species